CUGCACUGAUGAUUUGGUCGCCAACGAGUGGCGGACGGGUGAGUAACACGUAGGUAACCUGCCCAGAAGCGGGGGACAACAUUUGGAAACAGAUGCUAAUACCGCAUAACAACGUUGUUCGCAUGAACAACGCUUAAAAGAUGGCUUCUCGCUAUCACUUCUGGAUGGACUGCGGUGCAUUAGCUUGUUGGUGGGGUAAUGGCCUACCAAGGGCGAUGAUGCAUAGCCGAGUUGAGAGACUGAUCGGCCACAAUGGGACUGAGACACGGCCCAUACUCCUACGGGAGGCAGCAGUAGGGAAUCUUCCACAAUGGGCGCAAGCCUGAUGGAGCAACACCGCGUGAGUGAAGAAGGGUUUCGGCUCGUAAAGCUCUGUUGUUAAAGAAGAACACGUAUGAGAGUAACUGUUCAUACGUUGACGGUAUUUAACCAGAAAGUCACGGCUAACUACGUGCCAGCAGCCGCGGUAAUACGUAGGUGGCAAGCGUUAUCCGGAUUUAUUGGGCGUAAAGAGAGUGCAGGCGGUUUUCUAAGUCUGAUGUGAAAGCCUUCGGCUUAACCGGAGAAGUGCAUCGGAAACUGGAUAACUUGAGUGCAGAAGAGGGUAGUGGAACUCCAUGUGUAGCGGUGGAAUGCGUAGAUAUAUGGAAGAACACCAGUGGCGAAGGCGGCUACCUGGUCUGCAACUGACGCUGAGACUCGAAAGCAUGGGUAGCGAACAGGAUUAGAUACCCUGGUAGUCCAUGCCGUAAACGAUGAGUGCUAGGUGUUGGAGGGUUUCCGCCCUUCAGUGCCGGAGCUAACGCAUUAAGCACUCCGCCUGGGGAGUACGACCGCAAGGUUGAAACUCAAAGGAAUUGACGGGGGCCCGCACAAGCGGUGGAGCAUGUGGUUUAAUUCGAAGCUACGCGAAGAACCUUACCAGGUCUUGACAUCUUGCGCCAACCCUAGAGAUAGGGCGUUUCCUUCGGGAACGCAAUGACAGGUGGUGCAUGGUCGUCGU
rnacentral:rRNA from 2 species